rnacentral:rRNA from 1 species
UACGGAGGGGGCUAGCGUUGUCCGGAAUUAUUGGGCGUAAAGAGCUUGUAGGCGGUUUGUCGCGUCUGCUGUGAAAUUUCGGGGCUCAACCCCGAACUUGCAGUGGGUACGGGCAGACUAGAGUGUGGUAGGGGAGACUGGAAUUCCUGGUGUAGCGGUGAAAUGCGCAGAUAUCAGGAGGAACACCGAUGGCGAAGGCAGGUCUCUGGGCCAUAACUGACGCUGAGAAGCGAAAGCAUGGGGAGCGAACAGG